rnacentral:lncRNA from 1 species
AAAGAUGUGUUUGUGCUGCCAAAAAUGGCAUAAUACAGGAAGAUGAUGAGAAUAAGGUGUUUCAGUUUCUAAUGGGCCUUAAUGAAGCAUACAUGGGGAUAAGGAGUAACCUACUGAUGAUGCAGCCCCCUCCAACCCUUGACAAUGUCUACAAUAUGGUCCUCAAUGAUGAGAAACAAAGACAAGUCCAGUCCCCUUCUCAUUUUAAUCCAGACUCUAUGGACAUUCAGUUGGAUUCAAUAAGGUCCCAGUGCAUAAUCCUUCUCCUUUCAGACAAAGAGUUAAUUUUGACCAAGCUAGAGGCUCUUUAUUCUGUAGAUACUGCAAAAAAUCUGGGCACUUAAUUGAUAAGUGUUUCAAGAUUGAUGGGUAUCCACAAAGUACAACAUUUAACAAGGGGAGGAGACCUGCUGCUGCUCAUCUAACUGCUGGGGUGGAUUUCCCUUCUGCUGAAGGAAAUGUGUCUGUUCCUCAAGGAAAUCCUCCUGAAAGCCAUCACCAUGUUACAAACAUAGAUGGCCAGAGUUCUGUGAUACCAGGGUUGAGCAGACAACACUAUGACCAAUUGAUGAGCUUGUUACAACAGACUCAGUUAGGGGAUUCCACUGCUCAGACUCCUCCUCCCAUGUAUGC